UACAGAGGUGGCUAGCGUUGUUCGGAAUUACUGGGCGUAAAGGGCGCGUAGGCGGCCUUCUCAGUCGGACGUGAAAUCCCCGGGCUUAACUCGGGAACUGCGUCCGAUACUGGAAGGCUGGAGUUCGGGAGAGGGAUGUGGAAUUCCAGGUGUAGCGGUGAAAUGCGUAGAUAUCUGGAGGAACACCGGUGGCGAAGGCGGCAUCCUGGACCGAAACUGACGCUGAGGCGCGAAAGCCAGGGGAGCAAACGGG
rnacentral:rRNA from 1 species